GAAAUAUCUCCCUCUCAACUGUCAAAGACUUUUGGCCCUGACCGCUUAACGAAAUCCAUAAAAUUUUCCGCUCCCAAAAAUCGCCAUGGCCAAAAUUUUCCGCUCCCUAAAAUCGCCGUGGCCAAGAUCAACAUAUAAUCAUCGAUCUCAUCACUGAAUCUCAUCUCCCCUCUCUUCACAUGGAUUUCGAUUUCGAAAACCCUAGAAUUCUUCUUCGAGCCCAUGAGCAAGGUCGAUUUGAUACAAGGGAAGCCCUAGCGAUCCUCUCAACGUCGAUCUUCAUCCAAUCUCAAAUUGCAAUUGAGGAGAAGGAAUCCAUACUGGGAAGCAUACCAGAAGAUUUUAAGGAAAGGGGUUCACUGUUGUAUACUACUCUAAUAGAUGGGAAGAAAUGACGAAAGCCAAGAUUGAGAUUGAUACCGACAGGUUCCUAGUGAGUAUUUGACAUUGAAGCACAAGUUUUUCGAAACAAAUAGAGAAUAUAAAGUCUUUGACCGAGAAGUUUCAUGUUUUGUAAUCAAAUGUUGAUGUUGUUUGAAUGUUAGUUCUGUACGAUAUUUUCUGAGUUGAAAUGUUGGUAGUGUGGAUUUAAUACUUUGUAGUUUUUGUACUAUACUGAUGAAUUUUGGCACUUAUCAUUAUGGUUGAUUAUGCUCAACAUUUUUAAUUUGA